AAGCGUACACGGUGGAUGCCUUGGCGGUCAGAGGCGAUGAAGGACGUUGUAGCAUGCGAAAAGUCUCGGGGAGCUUGCAAACUAGCAUUGAUCCGGGAAUGUCCGAAUGGGGAAACCCACCACUUUUGUGGUAUCCCGCAAGGGAAGCGAACGUAGGGAACUGAAACAUCUAAGUACCUAUAGGAAAAGAAAUCAACCGAGAUUCCCCCAGUAGUGGCGAGCGAACGGGGAGUAGCCGAAUCAUAAUCUGUUAGUGGAAUAGUCUGGAAAGGCUAGCGACACCGGGUGAUAGCCCCGUACACGAAAACGUUUUAUGGACAUAUUAAGUAAGGGCGGGACACGUGAAAUCCUGUUUGAAGAUGGGGGGACCAUCCUCCAAGGCUAAAUACUACUGACCGACCGAUAGUGAACCAGUACCGUGAGGGAAAGGCGAAAAGAACCGCGGUGAGCGGAGUGAAAUAGAACCUGAAACCGUGUACGUACAAGCAGUGGAGCCCUUCGGGGUGACUGCGUACCUUUGUAUAAUGGGUCAG
rnacentral:rRNA from 1 species